CGCAUGGUAGGAGAGCGUUCCGUAAGCCUGCGAAGGUGCCUUGUAAAGGGUGCUGGAGGUAUCGGAAGUGCGAAUGCUGACAUGAGUAGCGAUAAAGGGGGUGAAAGGCCCCCUCGCCGUAAGCCCAAGGUUUCCUACGCAACGUUCAUCGGCGUAGGGUGAGUCGGCCCCUAAGGCGAGGCAGAAAUGCGUAGCUGAUGGGAAGCAGGUCAAUAUUCCUGCACCGUCGUUAGAUGCGAUGGGGGGACGGAUCGCGGAAGGUUGUCCGGGUGUUGGAAGUCCCGGUCGCUGCAUUGGAGAAGGCGCUUAGGCAAAUCCGGGCGCAGGAUUCAAGGGUGUGGCGCGAGCGACUUAGGUCGCGAAGCAAUUGGAAGUGGUUCCAAGAAAAGCCUCUAAGCUUCAGUCUAACGAUGACCGUACCGCAAACCGACACAGGUGGGCGAGAUGAGUAUUCUAAGGCGCUUGAGAGAACUCGGGAGAAGGAACUCGGCAAAUUGGUACCGUAACUUCGGGAUAAGGUACGCCCUUGUAGCUUGACUGGCCUGCGCCAGGAGGGUGAAGGGGUUGCAAUAAACUGGUGGCUGCGACUGUUUAAUAAAAACACAGCACUCUGCAAACACGAAAGUGGACGUAUAGGGUGUGACGCCUGCCCGGUGCCGGAAGAUUAAAUGAUGGGGUGCAAGCUCUUGAUUGAAGUCCCGGUAAACGGCGGCCGUAACUAUAACGGUCCUAAGGUAGCGAAAUUCCUUGUCGGGUAAGUUCCGACCUGCACGAAUGGCGUAACGAUGGCCACACUGUCUCCUCCCGAGACUCAGCGAAGUUGAAGUGUUUGUGAUGAUGCAAUCUACCCGCGGCUAGACGGAAAGACCCCAUGAACCUUUACUGUAGCUUUGCAUUGGACUUUGAACCGAUCUGUGUAGGAUAGGUGGGAGGCUAUGAAACCGGAACGCCAGUUUCGGUGGAGCCGUCCUUGAAAUACCACCCUGGUUUGUUUGAGGUUCUAACCUUGGCCCGUGAUCCGGGUCGGGGACAGUGCAUGGUAGGCAGUUUGACUGGGGCGGUCUCCUCCCAAAGCGUAACGGAGGAGUACGAAGGUACGCUAGGUACGGUCGGAAAUCGUGCUGAUAGUGCAAUGGCAUAAGCGUGCUUAACUGCGAGACCGACAAGUCGAGCAGGUGCGAAAGCAGGUCAUAGUGAUCCGGUGGUUCUGUAUGGAAGGGCCAUCGCUCAACGGAUAAAAGGUACUCUGGGGAUAACAGGCUGAUACCGCCCAAGAGUUCAUAUCGACGGCGGUGUUUGGCACCUCGAUGUCGGCUCAUCUCAUCCUGGGGCUGUAGCCGGUCCCAAGGGUAUGGCUGUUCGCCAUUUAAAGAGGUACGUGAGCUGGGUUUAAAACGUCGUGAGACAGUUUGGUCCCUAUCUGCCGUGGGCGUUGGAUAUUUGAAGGGGGCUGCUCCUAGUACGAGAGGACCGGAGUGGACGAACCUCUGGUGUACCGGUUGUGACGCCAGUCGCAUCGCCGGGUAGCUAUGUUCGGAAGAGAUAACCGCUGAAAGCAUCUAAGCGGGAAACUCGCCUUAAGAUGAGAUAUCCCUGGGGACUUGAUCCCCUUGAAGGGUCGUUCGAGACCAGGACGUUGAUAGGUCAGGUGUGUAAGCGCAGUAAUGCGUUCAGCUAACUGAUACUAAUUGCCCGUAAGGCUUGAUCCUAUAAC
rnacentral:rRNA from 1 species